GGCUAACUCCGUGCCAGCAGCCGCGGUAAUACGGAGGGUGCAAGCGUUGUCCGGAAUCAUUGGGCGUAAAGAGUUCGUAGGUGGUUUGUUAAGUUUGGUGUUAAAUGCAGAGGCUCAACUUCUGUUCGGCAUCGGAUACUGGCAGACUAGAAUGCGGUAGAGGUAAAGGGAAUUCCUGGUGUAGCGGUGAAAUGCGUAGAUAUCAGGAGGAACAUCGGUGGCGUAAGCGCUUUACUGGGCCGUAAUUGACACUGAGGAACGAAAGCCAGGGUAGCAAAUGGGAUUAGAUACCCCAGUAGUCCUGGCCGUAAACGAUGGAUACUAGGUGUUGCGGGUAUCGACCCCUGCAGUGCCGUAGCUAACGCGUUAAGUAUCCCGCCUGGGGAGUACGCACGCAAGUGUGAAACUCAAAGGAAUUGACGGGGACCCGCACAAGCGGUGGAACAUGUGGUUUAAUUCGAAGCAACGCGAAGAACCUUACCAGGGCUUGACAUCUAACAAACCUUUGUGAAAGCAAAGGGUGCUCUUCGGAGAAUGUUAAGACAGGUGGUGCACGGUUGUCGUCAGCUCGUGUCGUGAGAUGUUGGGUUAAGUCCCGCAACGAGCGCAACCCUCGUCGUUAGUUGGUACUAUCGGUAUACUUAUAGUAACCUCUCUAGCGAGACUGCCGGUGACAAACCGGAGGAAGGUGGGGACGACGUCAAAUCAUCAUGCCCCUUAUGCUUAGGGCUACACACGUGCUACAAUGGCCGGUACAAUGAGCCGCCAACUCGCGAGAGUGAGCAAAUCUCUAAAAGCCGGUCUCAGUUCGGAUUGCAGUCUGCAACUCGACUGCAUGAAGUCGGAAUCGCUAGUAAACGCAGAUCAGCACGCUGCGUUGAAUACGUUCCCGGGUCUUGUACACACCGCCCGUCACACCAUGGAAGUCGACCACGCCCGAAGUACGUGAGCUAACCGUAAGGAAGCAGCGUCCUAAGGCAGGGUUGGUGACUGGGGUGAAGUCGUAACAAGGUAGCCGUACCGGAAGGUGUGGCUG
rnacentral:rRNA from 1 species